rnacentral:rRNA from 1 species
ACAAUUAGCUGUUGGGACACUAGAUGUCUUAGUAGCGAAGCUAACGCGUGAAAUUGUCCGCCUGGGGAGUACGGUCGCAAGAUUAAAACUCAAAGGAAUUGACGGGGACCCGCACAAGCGGUGGAUGAUGUGGAUUAAUUCGAUGCAACGCGAAGAACCUUACCUGGUCUUGACAUGUGCGGAGUCUCUUAGAGAUAGGAGAGUGCCUUCGGGAGCCGUAACACAGGUGCUGCAUGGCUGUCGUCAGCUCGUGUCGUGAGAUGUUGGGUUAAGUCCCGCAACGAGCGCAACCCUUGUCAUUAGUUGCCAUCAUUAAGUUGGGCACUCUAAUGAGACUGCCGGUGACAAACCGGAGGAAGGUGGGGAUGACGUCAAGUCCUCAUGGCCCUUAUGACCAGGGCUUCACACGUCAUACAAUGGUCGGUACAGAGGGUAGCGAAGCCGCGAGGUGAAGCCAAUCUCAGAAAGCCGGUCGUAGUCCGGAUUGCACUCUGCAACUCGAGUGCAUGAAGUCGGAAUCGCUAGUAAUCGCAGGUCAGCAUACUGCGGUGAAUACGUUCCCGGGUCU